rnacentral:lncRNA from 1 species
UGGGCGUGUCCAGUUAGACUGAGCAGCCCCACUAACAUGAAUAAGCCGUGCAAAUAUGUGUUUAAUGACCAUGUUGCUCCGUGUCAAGUCUUAAUCCCAGAUAAUUAGCAGAUAGAUAAUUGGUAGAAGAAUGGGAGGUGCCGAUGGAUAUCCCAUCACUUGGGUGAAGCUAGUGAUCCUCUAUGGAUUAAGACCCACCCUCUGUAAGUGUUGAUGGCUCCUAUUUGAAAUGCUCCUUUCGAAAGGGCCUAGGUCCAAGAAGUGUCAGGAGCUCCAGAAUGGGGCGUUGGCAUCAGCGCUAAUUCCCUGGGCUGCUUCCAUGCAAGGCGCACGGGUCGUCGAGUUGAGGAAGCCGAUGCCGUCACCAUCCACAGCCGCCGAAAGCAACUUCCUACUCCCCCUUGGCCUCUGCUGUGGGAACGCUUCCCCUAGCGCUGCAGGAAUCUUUCCCCUUAAACCGGGGAAGAUUCCUUAAUCCGUUUUCGUGGUAAACGACCUCGGGCCAAGA